GACGAACGCUGGCGGCGUGCCUAAUACAUGCAAGUAGAACGCUGAAGGAGGAGCUUGCUUCUCUGGAUGAGUUGCGAACGGGUGAGUAACGCGUAGGUAACCUGCCUGGUAGCGGGGGAUAACUAUUGGAAACGAUAGCUAAUACCGCAUAAGAGUAGAUGUCGCAUGACAUUUGCUUAAAAGGUGCAAUUGCAUCACUACCAGAUGGACCUGCGUUGUAUUAGCUAGUUGGUGAGGUAACGGCUCACCAAGGCAACGAUACAUAGCCGACCUGAGAGGGUGAUCGGUCACACUGGGACUGAGACACGGCCCAGACUCCUACGGGAGGCAGCAGUAGGGAAUCUUCGGCAAUGGACGGAAGUCUGACCGAGCAACGCCGCGUGAGUGAAGAAGGUUUUCGGAUCGUAAAGCUCUGUUGUAAGAGAAGAACGAGUGUGAGAGUGGAAAGUUCACACUGUGACGGUAUCUUACCAGAAAGGGACGGCUAACUACGUG
rnacentral:rRNA from 1 species